UACAGAGGCCUCAAGCGUUAGGCGGAAUCACUGGCUUAAAGCGCGUGUAGGUGGACUUUUAAGUGCUUUGUGAAAUCCCACGGCUCAACCGUGGAACUGCUGGGCAUACUGGAAGUCUUGGGCUAUCUAGGGGCAACCGGGACAAGCGGUGGAGCGGUGAAAUGCGUAGAUAUCGCUUGGAACGCCAAAGGUGAAGACAGGUUGCUGGAGAUAUGCCGACACUGAGACGCGAAAGCCAGGGAGCAAACGGG
rnacentral:rRNA from 1 species